rnacentral:rRNA from 1 species
GGUUAAGCGACUAAGCGUACACGGUGGAUGCCCUGGCAGUCAGAGGCGAUGAAGGACGUGCUAAUCUGCGAUAAGCGUCGGUAAGGUGAUAUGAACCGUUAUAACCGGCGAUUUCCGAAUGGGGAAACCCAGUGUGAUUCGUCACACUAUCAUUAACUGAAUCCAUAGGUUAAUGAGGCGAACCGGGGGAACUGAAACAUCUAAGUACCCCGAGGAAAAGAAAUCAACCGAGAUUCCCCCAGUAGCGGCGAGCGAACGGGGAGCAGCCCAGAGCCUGAAUCAGUGUGUGUGUUAGUGGAAGCGUCUGGAAAGGCGCGCGAUACAGGGUGACAGCCCCGUACACAAAAAUGCACAUACUGUGAGCUCGAUGAGUAGGGCGGGACACGUGGUAUCCUGUCUGAAUAUGGGGGGACCAUCCUCCAAGGCUAAAUACUCCUGACUGACCGAUAGUGAACCAGUACCGUGAGGGAAAGGCGAAAAGAACCCCGGCGAGGGGAGUGAAAAAGAACCUGAAACCGUGUACGUACAAGCAGUGGGAGCACGCUUAGGCGUGUGACUGCGUACCUUUUGUAUAAUGGGUCAGCGACUUAUAUUCUGUAGCAAGGUUAACCGAAUAGGGGAGCCGAAGGGAAACCGAGUCUUAACUGGGCGUUAAGUUGCAGGGUAUAGACCCGAAACCCGGUGAUCUAGCCAUGGGCAGGUUGAAGGUUGGGUAACACUAACUGGAGGACCGAACCGACUAAUGUUGAAAAAUUAGCGGAUGACUUGUGGCUGGGGGUGAAAGGCCAAUCAAACCGGGAGAUAGCUGGUUCUCCCCGAAAGCUAUUUAGGUAGCGCCUCGUGAAUUCAUCUCCGGGGGUAGAGCACUGUUUCGGCAAGGGGGUCAUCCCGACUUACCAACCCGAUGCAAACUGCGAAUACCGGAGAAUGUUAUCACGGGAGACACACGGCGGGUGCUAACGUCCGUCGUGAAGAGGGAAACAACCCAGACCGCCAGCUAAGGUCCCAAAGUCAUGGUUAAGUGGGAAACGAUGUGGGAAGGCCCAGACAGCCAGGAUGUUGGCUUAGAAGCAGCCAUCAUUUAAAGAAAGCGUAAUAGCUCACUGGUCGAGUCGGCCUGCGCGGAAGAUGUAACGGGGCUAAACCAUGCACCGAAGCUGCGGCAGCGACGCUGAUGCGUUGUUGGGUAGGGGAGCGUUCUGUAAGCCUGCGAAGGUGUGCUGUGAGGCAUGCUGGAGGUAUCAGAAGUGCGAAUGCUGACAUAAGUAACGAUAAAGCGGGUGAAAAGCCCGCUCGCCGGAAGACCAAGGGUUCCUGUCCAACGUUAAUCGGGGCAGGGUGAGUCGACCCCUAAGGCGAGGCCGAAAGGCGUAGUCGAUGGGAAACAGGUUAAUAUUCCUGUACUUGGUGUUACUGCGAAGGGGGGACGGAGAAGGCUAUGUUGGCCGGGCGACGGUUGUCCCGGUUUAAGCGUGUAGGCUGGUUUUCCAGGCAAAUCCGGAAAAUCAAGGCUGAGGCGUGAUGACGAGGCACUACGGUGCUGAAGCAACAAAUGCCCUGCUUCCAGGAAAAGCCUCUAAGCAUCAGGUAACAUCAAAUCGUACCCCAAACCGACACAGGUGGUCAGGUAGAGAAUACCAAGGCGCUUGAGAGAACUCGGGUGAAGGAACUAGGCAAAAUGGUGCCGUAACUUCGGGAGAAGGCACGCUGAUAUGUAGGUGAAGUCCCUUGCGGAUGGAGCUGAAAUCAGUCGAAGAUACCAGCUGGCUGCAACUGUUUAUUAAAAACACAGCACUGUGCAAACACGAAAGUGGACGUAUACGGUGUGACGCCUGCCCGGUGCCGGAAGGUUAAUUGAUGGGGUCAGCGCAAGCGAAGCUCUUGAUCGAAGCCCCGGUAAACGGCGGCCGUAACUAUAACGGUCCUAAGGUAGCGAAAUUCCUUGUCGGGUAAGUUCCGACCUGCACGAAUGGCGUAAUGAUGGCCAGGCUGUCUCCACCCGAGACUCAGUGAAAUUGAACUCGCUGUGAAGAUGCAGUGUACCCGCGGCAAGACGGAAAGACCCCGUGAACCUUUACUAUAGCUUGACACUGAACAUUGAGCCUUGAUGUGUAGGAUAGGUGGGAGGCUUUGAAGUGUGGACGCCAGUCUGCAUGGAGCCGACCUUGAAAUACCACCCUUUAAUGUUUGAUGUUCUAACGUUGACCCGUAAUCCGGGUUGCGGACAGUGUCUGGUGGGUAGUUUGACUGGGGCGGUCUCCUCCUAAAGAGUAACGGAGGAGCACGAAGGUUGGCUAAUCCUGGUCGGACAUCAGGAGGUUAGUGCAAUGGCAUAAGCCAGCUUGACUGCGAGCGUGACGGCGCGAGCAGGUGCGAAAGCAGGUCAUAGUGAUCCGGUGGUUCUGAAUGGAAGGGCCAUCGCUCAACGGAUAAAAGGUACUCCGGGGAUAACAGGCUGAUACCGCCCAAGAGUUCAUAUCGACGGCGGUGUUUGGCACCUCGAUGUCGGCUCAUCACAUCCUGGGGCUGAAGUAGGUCCCAAGGGUAUGGCUGUUCGCCAUUUAAAGUGGUACGCGAGCUGGGUUUAGAACGUCGUGAGACAGUUCGGUCCCUAUCUGCCGUGGGCGCUGGAGAACUGAGGGGGGCUGCUCCUAGUACGAGAGGACCGGAGUGGACGCAUCACUGGUGUUCGGGUUGUCAUGCCAAUGGCACUGCCCGGUAGCUAAAUGCGGAAGAGAUAAGUGCUGAAAGCAUCUAAGCACGAAACUUGCCCCGAGAUGAGUUCUCCCUGACUCCUUGAGAGUCCUGAAGGAACGUUGAAGACGACGACGUUGAUAGGCCGGGUGUGUAAGCGCAGCGAUGCGUUGAGCUAACCGGUACUAAUGAACCGUGAGGCUUAACCUU